CCCAUUCUGGAACAAUAUUUUAUCGUCGAAUCUUUAUCUUUCCAAUAAUAGUCAACUUUUCAACUAGAGUAAUAUCAUAGUAUUAUUCUCAUAUCGAAUUUGAACUUAUGAUUCACUUGAAUAACCAAUGAUCAAAUUAAUAACCAUAAUGCAUAAUAAAAUUUUAUGUUAAUCUUUUUGUGAUUACUUUCGAUCAAGAUCUAACUAAUCAUAUCAUGAUCUAUAGAUCAUCCAUCAUAUUUCAAAUUCUAUAUAUUAUAAUCUCUUGCGAUCCUUUUAUACAUAAUCUCAAUAUUUAAUCAAAACUUUUAAAUAUUUCUCCCACUACAAUCAUCAAAAAUCUACACUAUAAUAUCCCUGGUGUCUAUCCGCUUACACCCAUUCUAUAUCUGAUUCUAUGUUUCAUAAUUCAUCCACUUAUGCUCUGAUACCAUAUUAGUUGUCACGCCCCCGACCC
rnacentral:lncRNA from 1 species